rnacentral:lncRNA from 1 species
UUCUCCAAUCUAGAUUCAAUAAUGCAAUCUUGAAAUUAUUUUGGCUAUUUGGCUUUUUAUAUGCUCCCUUAUACUAACUCAUACUACUUUUACUUGAUAGUUUUUAAAGGUCAAUGUACCAUUAAAAUUAGAACGCUUUUCCUUAAAAUACAUAUUCAUACACUUACUCAAGGGAAGCAAUUUGUGUUUUUCUCAUUGGAGAAUAUUAUUCAUUUUGAAACAAGGUGUGGGUAUAUCGAGAAAACUUAAAAUAAAAGAGUUCACUUUCAUGUACAAGAAACAACCAACUGAGAGGAGACAAUAAAAUUUUUAUGCCAUGCUUUAUUUCAUUAAAAACAAGCUACUUAACCAUGCCUUUCACAAGAAAACAAAAACAAAAGAAUAAAGUUCAAGGGAGUUUUGAAACACUACGACUAAAGAUACUUUAUUAGGCUCCCCCCACACUUAGGAGAAGCAUUGUCCUCAAUGAUUUAAGAAGAAAAAUGAAAGAAACAAGGAAAUAGUGGGAAAGGAUGCGGAAAGCUCACAAUUUGCUAAAAAAUUUGAACCCUGGAGGCCUGUCAGGUUGGCACGGCCGUGCCAACUUUAGCACGGGUUGUGCCAUCUUCUUGCCAACUUUGGUGAUUUUGUGUGUUGGAUCUUGGCACGGCCGUGCCAGCUCAAGUACGGGCCGUGCCACCUUUCUGGGUCUUGUAACUUUAAUUUUUCUUGAGUUUCCUAAUCAAUCUCGGACAUUUACCUACAAAACAAAGAGAAAUAACAGAAAACAAAGAAAGCAAUUAAAUCAGUGGGUUGCCUCCCACGAAGCAAUCUUUUAUUGUCACUAGCUUGACAAAAAUAAGGAUAAAUAUCCUUAAGGAGGGUCACUUAGAGUAAAAUCAGCCACCACUUCAUUUACUUCUCCGGUAUUAUAGAUUUUUAGCCUUUGCCCAUUAACCGUAAAGGAUCCGGUUUCUUCAGAAAAGAUUUCAAUUGCCCCAUAAGGGUAGACCUUGCGAACUUGAAAUGGACCGGACCAUCGCGACCUUAGUUUACCGGGAAAGAGCUUUGGCUGCCCUAUUUUCCAAGGUAAGCGGAAGCGUAUCCAUUUUCAAGCGAUUGUUGAUAGAAUUAAGGUGAAACUUGCUUCUUGGAAAGGUUAUCUCUUGACAAUUAUGGGGAGAGUUCAGUUGGUGAGAUCAAUUAUACAUGGCAUGCUGGUUUACUCGUUUCAUAUUUAUCGUUGGCCGCAAAAUAUUUUGAAGUUGCUGGAUCGUUGGAUCAAAAAUUUUGUUUGGAGUGGUGACAUUUAUACCUUGAAAAUUUGUACAGUAAAGUGGAAUACGGUUUGUCUCCCACGGGAAUCUGGCGGUUUGAAUCUUAAGCCAACGAGACUUAUUAAUAAUUCUCUAUUAUUACAGUUGAGUUGGAAUCUUCAUAGCAAUGAUUCGCAGUGUGCUACUCUCUUUAGGCAUCGUUAUUUUUGUAACGGCAUUCCUCGGCGUAGUUACAUCAAAUCCUCGGUCUGGCUUGGCAUUAAAUCACAUAUGGAUACAGUAAUUGAAAAAUCCAUUUGGAUGAUUGGUAAUGGCGAAAAAAAUCAAUUUAUGGCUAGAUAAUUGGCUAGGUUCCUCUCUGGUUUCGGUUUUUAAUAUCAACCCCGCCGCUUGGAAAUCUCUCUGCUUCACACUUUUCUCGGUUUUAGAUGCUGGUAGAUGGCGCCUUCCACCUCCCCUUCUCUCUAACUCAGUUGUUGUAGCUAGCAUUUUGAAUAUCACUCUUCCGGUAACGCCGUUAUUGGACAAAGUGGUUUGGAUUCACACAACAGAUGGGGACCUCUCAGCAAAGCAAGUGUUUCUUUUUUUAAGAGGCACAUCGAACUUGGUGGAUUGGGCUACUCUUAUUUGGCGUCCUUGCAUACCGCCAUCCCACUCUUUUAUUUUUUGGCGACUGAUGCAUAAGAAGGUGCCCACUGAUGAGCACCUUCAGUCACGUGGUUGUACUAUUGUGUCAAUUUGUGUUCUUUGUUUCAGGGCUGCUGAGACGUCGGAUCAUAUAUUUUUCUCUUGUGAUUAUGCGGUUCGCCUCUGGUGUUGGUUAGGAGCGUUGCUGCAUUGCUCCUUCCCCUUGCAGUCUCUUGAGGCGUUGUUAAGUUGUGUACCAGCAACUUGUACAUCACAGCUGCGUGAUGUUUUUGUCUCGGCCAUUGUCCACGCGCUGCACAAAAUAUGGCUGGCCCGUAAUGAAAUCAGAUUUGGAAGUCACAUUAUCACCUUAAGUAUGGGCACAGGUUAUUGUAUUCCUACAGACACCACUGUGUAGGAAAAUUUCCAUGUUUCCCCUUCCUUCCGUCGAUUUAAGGAGAUUGUUCCGGUGGUUUGGAAGCCUCCAACCACUCGUUGGGUCAAGGCUAAUACGGACGGAUCUCUCAUGCACUCAUCAGCAUCUUAUGGGAGGAGGGGGGGAAUUUUCCUUGAUCACAGAGGCACUUUUUUAGGUUCUUUUGCUUCGAACUUGGGCACGAUGUCGAUUUUUGAAGCGGAGCUUUCAACCAUUAUUUUUGCUUUGGAAUUUGCUGCAAAGUACAAUUGGGUCAACCUUUGGGUGGAGAGUGACUCCUCUACAACGGUGCUUGCUUUCAAGAAUUCCACCUUGAUUCCUGUCCAUCUUCGGAACCGCUGGCACAACUGUUUUCAACUUGGAAUUACUAUUAUCUGCUCACACAUUUAUCGUGAAGGAAAUUGUCGUGCGGACAAGAUGGCUUCUCUGGGUCAUGAUCUGCCUGACACUGUUUGGUUUGAUGUUUUACCUCCGUCUUUGUAUUAAGACUUCUUUAGGGAUAGUAACGGCUUGCCUAAUUAUCGUUUUCCCUAAGUUGUCAGCUGUUUCUUUUCUAUUUUUUUUUUCUAUUGUUUCGAGGGUUUUGGCAUAGUCUCCCCUUUUGUACAUAUUUUUCUCUAUUUUUAAUAAUAUUUAUGAAGUAGGCGACAAAGGAUAUGAGUUCCAGUGGGGUGCCAACCUAGUUGGGAUGUCUCUGGGCUCCUUGAUGUCUAACCUUCUCCUUGCCUUAUCCAAAAAAAAAAAAGCAUUUCCCUUAAGAAAUAUAUAUAAAGCGUUCAUUAAAAAAUAAAAUAAAGCAUGACAGUUUUUUUUCAAAGGAGAAAACGUGGCAGUUGUUUUAUUAAAAAAUAAGCUAUGAACUUGGCCAUUAUUUUUUAAGCCAUGAACAUGUUGUUUUGUUAAAAAAUAAUUAAAUUAAAUUAAUAGGGUUAAAAUUGGAAGAAAAUAUAAAAAACUACCAGCAAUAAGCUCAAAAGCUACUUGAAAUAGCUUCUCAAAAAACGCUACAAGUUAGUGAAAAAAAACUUUUUACCAAACACAUCUUAUAAGCUAAUCCAACAAGCUAUAAGCUAGCUUAUUCGUGUUACCAAACACAGCCAUGAUGGGUUGAAUUUGAUGUGAAAUUUUAAUUGUUACAAGCCCUAUAGUGUAAAUUAAUUCAGAUUGUAUACCUAAAUAUAAUUAAAUAAAAAUUAAAAGUUACCUUAUUAAAAUUGAUUUUUUUAUUUGACAUUUAAUGUUACAUUUGUAUAUCAUAUUUUGAUUAGUUGAUAUCUUGAACGGGUAAAUACCCCAUAAACAAGAGAGGGUAACAUAGAAAAAACCAUGCUUAAGUUGGUUCACAAAUUCAUUUUUUUUAUUUUUAGCGAACACGUAUUGUAUCAAUGUACUCUAUCUUAUUUUUUUAUGGUGUCUGGGGUUCGAGCCCCAGACCAUGCAUAUAUUAUGCAUUGUCUUUACCAACUAAGCUAAGCUCACAUACACUAUCAAUUUGAAUAAAUGAAUAUCGUUUAUUUUUGGAAAAAAAUAAUUAAAUUAAUUAAGGAAGUCGAAAAAAAUAUAAUCUUAUGAAGAAAAAAAAAAUUGAUGCAUUAAUACUCAUCUCUAUUUGGUGAGAUAUUUUAAACUUGACUAUCAUCUAUAUCUAUAUACUUAUAUAAAAAGAAAUGUCCCUUGAAUUUAUAAUUUUGCCUCUAUAAGGAGCAAUUUGGUAAAUUACUAAUUGGUUGAGUUUUUUUUAAGGUUGGCCUAUAAAUUUCCAUUUUUUCCCCUAACCAAUUUUUUUAAUUAUUUUCUAAUUUUUAUAUUUUUAAUAACUUUUAAUUAUUUUCCAAUUUUUAUAUUUUUAAAUUUUUUCUCCCAAAUUCAAUUGCUUAUACAUUGGCGUUGUGGGAGAUUAAGGUAUCGUUUGACCCGACUUUUUUCAAACUUCUCUACAUUUUUAAGAAGAAGUUAGGCCAAACACAAUAUCAAUUAAGUACUUACUAUAAAAAGAACAUUUUUUUGAACGCAUAAAAUUUAUUUCACAAACACCUCUGUUCAACUCACGCUGAGAAUCUUUUCUUUAUUUUUUAAUAUUAUAUUUCAAUAUGUUUUUUUUCCAUUUAACUUUAUUUUUUUCAACCGUUCCAUUUAAUUUUUUAAGGAGGUUCCAUUUAAUUUUAUCUUUUUUUCAAAGAAAUAUUAUUAUCUUUUUAUCUUAUAUAUUUAAUUUCAAUAUCGUUUAAUCGUCACAACCUCACAAAUAUUUUUAUUCAUGCUGUCAUUUAAUGAUUCCAAAUAUUUUUAUUUCCUUUCUUCGUCCUCACGAAUAUACAUAUAAUUUUUAGAGUAAUAUCAACGUUUAGAGUAAUAUUUUAUGUCUCUCUGUCUGUUUUUUUGUUACACUAAUGCAUAUAAUUUUUUUCGUGUUGCUUGGUUGAGUGCUACUUCACCAAUUUUUUUUUAACUAUUUUCCAAUUUUUAUAUUUUUAAAAAUUUUAACUAUUUUACAAUUUUUUAUUUUUAACUAUUUUUCAAUUUUUUUUGUCCCAAAUUCAGUUGCUUCUACACUGCCGUUGUGGGCGAAUAAGAUACCGUUUGACCCGGUAUUUUUUUCAACUUCUCUACAUUUUUAAGGAGAAGUUAGGCCAAAUACAAUAUCAAUUAAGUACUUACUAAAAAAUGUACUUUUUUUAAUGCAUAAAAUUGAAUGGAAUGAGCUAUGGCCAAAAGUUCUUGAAUGCUACUUCAAAAAACUACUUCUCGACAAUUUAUUUCACAAGUAUCUCUCUUCAAUUCACGUUGGGAACCUUUUCUUUUAUUUUUUUAAUAUUAUAUUUCAAUAUGUUUUUUUCUUCCAUUUAAUUUUUUUUAACCGUUGCAUUUAAUGUGUCGUCUGCAAACUGCAAGUGAGAUACCAACACAUUGUCAUGCGCCCCAACGCCAUAUGGAGUAAACAACCCAUUUGAUUAUCAACCUAAGGAUUCCCACUAAUCAUCGAUGUACUUCCAACCUUCCUUCCUUGGCUCAAACAAGAUGGAUACUAAGUAGAACUAAUUAUCUUUUUCAAACAUAAAUAAACAUGUUUGUUUAUAAGAUACCAAAAUAUUCGAUGUUUUGACUCUUGAUUUUUUUUUUUUUUUGUGUGUAGAUCCAUGGUAAUCUACAUUUUGUCAUUUUUUUAUUUCUUCUAAAUAAGUUAUACUGGUAUCCCACCCCAAACUUAAAAUAUUUCUAGGGCAACCCCAACCUUAGCUCAAAUCAUACCAAGUUAUAAUUAUUAUCUAUCUAACUCCAAGAGAAAUCAAACGGAUUGCAUUUAAGGUUUAGAACCGUAACAUGAUUCGUUACCUAAUAACAACAAAAGAUAUUAUUGUUGGAGGCUCAAAGAGGUUUCACAAAGGAUAAUAAGAAUAUAAAGGGUGGCUUAAAAGGCUCAUGGUACCCAAAGAAAUUGCCUCGUAUUGUAAUGACAUAGAAGCACCAAUAUUGACAAUGUGCUCGAUACGCGGCUCUGCGGUGAUUGUUCCCUUUCCAUUUUAUCUCUUUGUAAUUAGUGUUGUUACAAAUAUGGAAAAUGAGUUUUGUUCAUCAUUAUCUAGAUAGUUCUUCUAAGUUUUGACAACACUAUUUCAUGUAAAUUAAAGGAAAACAAACAAAAGAUGCCGGUACGAUUCACAAUAUAUUAAAUACCUUACUCGAUCCACUUAAAAUGAAAUUAUGUGUUGAAGGAUACGAAUAAUGACAACCAGACAUAUAUGACAUGUUUCUUUCCUGUCAGUGACUGCGAAUCAAGCAUUCUAAUCGAGAACCAGAUUUCGGAAGAAUUUUCCUAAAGCUAAGUUGUAAACGAAUUUUGUUUUGAGAGGGAAGACAUUAUUGUAGUUUUUGUGUAUAGUUUUUAAAAAACUUAACCGACCAUGUAAUAAUAAAAAGAUUUGAUUGAAUAUACUUGAAUCUCCCUUCAUAAUAGAAAAAUAGGAAUAUACUUUAAUAUAUAUAUAUAUAUAUAUAUAUAUAUAUAUAUAUAUAUAUAUAUAUAUAUAUCCAAAAAAGGAAAAGGAUUUAUGGAUGGGAGAGAGAAAAUAUAUUGACAAUGAUAUCAUGACUUGCUUAUAAAAUAUUGCCUUCUAAUUAGUUAGGAGCAUUGACAAAUUUAAAUUCAUUAAAAUGCAACAAUAUGGUAGAAGCACCCAAAUUAUAUUCCUCAUCGCAAAUUUUCUUUUCUAUUUUAUCUCUAUCUGACAAUUUAUUGCUUCUUUUCAUUAUUUAAAAAAUAUUGUCUGUAAACAUAGAUGGAGGAAACCUUGUAAAAAAAAAGAUUUUUUUUUAAAUGCUUAAAAUUAACUUUUAUCAAAAUUUCAUUUUUUUUAAAUUAAUUUUCAUGAUAUUGUAAAUUAUCAUUUUAAUUAAUUUAUUAAUGUUAUAUAAAAUAGGAAAAAAAUAUUAAUUUUAUAUCUAGUUACAUAAUAUAAAGCAAGUUUGUACCAAAAAAUAAAGUAAUGUAUAGAAAGGGCAAUAGGACAAUAUUUAGGAGUACAAAUAUAAUAUGAUGAGCUAAACUCUAGUGCACAGUUAAUGCAGAAUAAAACUGUUAACCAACUAUUAAAUUUUUUACAAAACCAACCAUCAUGUUAGAAAACGACAAUUCACAACCAACCAAUAUUUUUAAGUAAGAAAACCUCAACCAAAAAAUCAUUUUAAGGUAGGAAGUGAAUCUAAUCAUUGACAUAAAUCAAUCCUUAUCUGAGUGUAUGGAUAUCAUCAAUAAUAAACUAAAAAUAGAAAAUCCAUGUAUGAAAUUGUGCCUAUAAAAAACUUGUACAUUGACCCUAGAUGAUUCAUUUUUUUUUUUGGAUAAGCAAGGAGAAAGGACAAGCAUCAGGAGACAUCGUCGACAUCCCAACUAGGUUGGCACCCCGAGACAUCUCCAUCCUAUGCCGCCAGACUCGAAGGAAAUUUAAUAAAAAAAGGGGAAAAAUAAAUACAGAAGGAGGGGGGACUAGGCCAAAACCCUCCAAAAGAAACAAUGCCAAACACAAAAAGAAAAAAGAAAACAGCUAACAGACAAGCAGCAGACUACGAAAAUCUGUAAUUAGGCCAACCGCUUCUGUCCCGAAAGAAAUCAAAGCCCAGUGCUAGAGGAAGAGAAUCUAGCCAAACCGCGCCUACCACCGAGUGACCCAGAGUCGCCAAAUAGUCGGCACAGCAGUUACCUUCACGGUAAAUGUGAGAAGCAAUCACCUGAAUCCCAAGAUUUCUAGCAUUGUGCCAUCUAUUACGUAGCAACACCGGCACCAAUAAAGGGUUCGAGAAGAUCAUGAGAGCACUUGUCGAAUCACUUUCCAACCAGAGAUUCCUCCAACCAUGGCGGGCAGCAAACUCAAUGGCAAAAAUCAUACCCAAAACUUCCGCAUUAAAAACCGACUGUAUCCCAACAUUACAGGCAAAAGCACCGCGGAACGUCCCACGGUGAUCUCGAAACAGCCCCCCACAUGCCGCAUGUUCCCCAAUUACCGAACCAUCCGUGUUAACUUUCAACCACGGGGCGGUGGGAGGCUGCCACAAAACCAGUAAAAUAUCCCUAGAUGAUUCAUUCAAUCAUAUGGUUUGGAAAUUUCUUAUUGCAUGUUUGAAAAAUAUGUCUAAUCCUAGGUUUCGUACAUUUCUUACUGCAUGUUUAGCAUUAUUGUGUACUUGUUCAUUAGGAAACCCACUCAAGUGGGAAUGGGCAUCUGAACCAAUGCAAGACACCUUACCAGGCAAAGGGACAUUUACUGCAUCUAAACUUUUAGAUCAAAAGAAUGUUACUGCUGGAGCUAGUGAUUAUUUAUGGUACAUGACCGAAGUAGUCGUAAAUGACACAACUGUUUGGGGGAAAUCAACACUGCAAGUGAAUGCAAAAGGCCCUAUUAUUUAUUCAUAUAUUAAUGGAUUUUGGUGGGGUGUAUAUGAUAGUAUCCCGAGUACACAUAGUUUCGUAUAUGAUGAGGAUAUUUCCUUGAAACGAGGUACCAAUAUUAUAAGUUUAUUAAGUGUUACACUUGGUAAAUCAAAUUGUAGUGGGUUCAUUGAUAUGAAAGAAACUGGUAUUGUUGGGGGGUCAUGUGAAACUCAUUUCAAUUGAAUAUCCAGACAAUGUUUUGGAUUUAUCAAAAUCUACUUGGUCGUACAAAGUUGGGAUGAAUGGUAUGGCUAGAAAGUUCUAAGAUCCCAGAUCUAAUGGAGUUCCAUGGAUACCACGUAAUGUUUCUACAGGAGUACCAAUGACUUGGUACAAGACCACUUUCAAGACCCCUAAAGGGUCAAACCUUGUAGUCCUGGAUUUGAUAGGCCUUCAAAGAGGAAAAGCAUGGGUUAAUGGUCAAAGUAUUGGAAGGUAUCAGCUUGGUGAAAAUUCAUCUUUUAGGUAUUACGCAGUGCCAAGGCCAUUCUUUAAUAAAGAUGUAAACACAUUGGUCUUGUUUGAGGAAUUGGGUCUGGGUGAAGGCCCUUUCAAUGUGUCUGUCGACAUAAUCAGCAUCGAAUCCAGAAAUUUUGUUAAGUGGGAUCAAGGUUGCUCAUCAUGAAUAUUUAUAAAAAAUAUACAUAAAUUCAUAACCAAUAAAUGAUGACACCAUUAUGUCUAUGCAAAAUAAUUAGAGAAAUGUAGACACCUUAAUAUCGAAUAUUAUGUAUGUUAUCAAUCCGUCAUUAACAAUAUAUAUCUUCCAUAUGGUUGCGCAUUUGACUAUCCAUAACGUUUCUAGUAGAAAAACUUCUUUCAUCAUUUGCACUCGCCACAAGCAACAAUAAUGCUAGCUUCAAAAGUAAGUGCAACAUUGGAUAACCAACAUGUUUUCUACUUUUUGUCAACUUUAUUGAAAGAUCACUAAUCCCAUCACAUUAUAAAAGUAACCAUAAAUAAUGAACAUUCAUGAUAUAAUUUUCAAUUUAAUUGUCGAGUUCCAUGAUCUCUGAAGAAUAAAAUUCUGACGGAUGAAAUCGAUCCAAUUUGAUCAACUUCUCCUUGUCAAAUGCAAAAAUUAAUAUCUCGAAUAUAAGCUUCUUAUUACUAAGAAAUUUGUCUUCCACUAUCUGCUUAGAUUUUCUUUAUUAUCUUUUUUGGAGCAUUUCAUCUUGGUUUUAACGUCUUCCACUAGCUGCUUUGAUUUUAUUUUUUUCAACUUUUUUGGAGAAUUUUAUCUUGGUUUUAGAGAAGAAGAAAAACAAUGGUCUUUUUGCAAGUUAAACCCCAAAUGUCAUUGUCAAAAGGAGAAAUACAAAUGCCUUUACGAAAACAGAGAUGUCAAAUAUCCUUUUUUAAGUGCAAUACAAAGCAAUAAUAAUUUAACAACUAUAAUACGUAUAUACUACUCCUUUUGACUCAAAUUAUAUGAAGAGGUUGCUCAGAUUGUCAUCUUGUCCCAUUUAUUGAAUUGACUUACUUACCUCAUUACACUGAAGCGGGACCGACUUGGAGAAGAUAGCUCACACACUUAACCACAUUUUUUUCAAGGAUAUAAAUAUGUAUCUCCCAAAGCCAGUACGGCUGGUCACGACAUUUUUCCACUUCAGUCGUCACAUGAAUGUACCAUGCUGUAAUUUAAGACAAUUCUAAAUAGACAUUCAAAAUCAGAUUAUAUACACACUUUGAGGACUUUCAGGGUUGUAAUAUGACUUACGUUAAUAGUGGAUAUAUUUAGUAAAGUAGGCUAACAAAGAAACUUGAAGUUUGAUUAUCAACCUAAGGAUUCCUACUAAUCAUCGAUGUACUUCCAACCUUCCUUCCUUGGCUCAAACAAGAUGGAUACUAAGUAGAACUAAUUAUGUUUUUCAAACAUAAAUAAACAUGUUUAUUUAUAAGAUACCAAAAUAUUCGAUGUUUUGGCUCUUGAUUUUUUUUUUUUUUUUUUUUUUUGUGUAGAUCCAUCAUAUUCUACAUUUUGUCAUUUUUUUCUUUUUGCUAAAUAAGUUAUACUGGUACCCCACUCCAAACUUAAAAUAUUGCUAAUUCUAAAGGGCAACCCUAACCUUAGCUCAACCCAUACCAAGUUAUAAUAAUAAUAAUCUAUUUGAGUCCAAGAGAAAUCAAACGGAUUGGAUUUAAGGUUUAGAACUGUGACAUGAUUCGUUACUUAAUAACAACAAAAGAAAUUAUUGUUGGAGGCUCAAAGAGGUUUCACAAAGGAUAAUAAGAAUAUGAAGGAUGGCUUAAAAGGCUCAAGGUACCAAAAAAAAUUG